rnacentral:rRNA from 1 species
GCAAGUCGAACGCACGUAGCAAUACGUGAGUGGCGGACGGGUGAGUAACGCGUGAGAAUCUAGCUUCAGGUCGGGGACAACAGAGGGAAACCGCUGCUAAUACCGGAUAUGCCGAAAGGUGAAAGAUUAAUUGCCUGAAGAUGAGCUCGCGUCUGAUUAGCUAGUUGGAGAGGUAAAAGCUCACCAAGGCGACGAUCAGUAGCUGGUCUGAGAGGACGAUCAGCCACACUGGGACUGAGACACGGCCCAGACUCCUACGGGAGGCAGCAGUGGGGAAUUUUCCGCAAUGGGCGAAAGCCUGACGGAGCAAUACCGCGUGAGGGAGGAAGGCUCUUGGGUUGUAAACCUCUUUUCUUAGGGAAGAAGCUCUGACGGUACCUAAGGAAUAAGCAUCGGCUAACUCCGUGCCAGCAGCCGCGGUAAUACGGAGGAUGCAAGCGUUAUCCGGAAUCAUUGGGCGUAAAGCGUCCGUAGGUGGCAGUUCAAGUCUGCUGUUAAAGGCUGGGGC